rnacentral:lncRNA from 1 species
UUUUUUUUUUUUUUUUUUUUUUUUUGCUGAAUCCAAAGAUAUAUAAAUAAAAAUGUAUUUUAUGAAGAUCCAAAUGAUAUUAAGGCAACAUGUUUCUUCAAAAAUAAAUGAAGCUGUACUGUUGCUGUUGGUAUCAGAACGCUUUCUCUCUAAACUGUGCCCCUGUCAUUAACAGGCCUACCCGGUUCAUCAGCAUUAGAUGCUGAGGUGGGUCGGGGCCAGAGGCAGUGGGUACUAGGGCACAUAAUUGGCUUGAUUCAGGGGUAGGUGCAGCUGGACUGUGCAGAGAGUUUCCAGUUUACAACACGCCAGUCCAGUCCCUUUCUAUCUGCAGUAGAGUGUUACCAGGAGCAGACCUCUAGGUGAGCUCGAAUCUGGCCCUGCCAUGAAGCAACAGGUGUGUUUACCUCCAGUGCAGGCGAUUAAAAACAGGGCGGUGUUUUGUUUUUCUCUUGCCUCCUCCCUUUUUCUCUUCUUUUGAAAAUAAGGAGUUCUGAAGAAGACGGAAAUGUCACUCCAAGAGCAGUAAAUUCUCAGGAACUGACCGACACCACUGAGAACACAUUUGGGGUUAAUCACAUUUAUAUAAGUGUCACUUAAGAUGGUGUCAUUCUUUACACCGCAAGGAAUGGAAACCAUUCGGUGACUCAGUUGGGUGAGCUUUGGAUGCCUUGCCGACUGUCUGGAUGCUCUUGUAAAUAAAGGUUUCUAUUU